AUAUGAGUGGGCAUAUGUUUUAUUUCACCCAUGCCGAAACAAAAGAAAAGAAAAAGAAAUAAGGGAAGCUUAGGUUCGGUCAACUCCCAAGCUCAAAUCCAAGAUCAAGAACCAAAGCAAUCGGAUUUGGACUAGGGAAAAACGAAAGUUAUCGACUAGCAGCUCCGUCCCGUUUUACGACGUCUGAGUGUCACCAAGCUAGCUCGGAUUGGAGAUCGUCGAAGUUCACAUCACACUAUCAAAUUGAUUAUUUUGGGUACCGAUGAUUUUAAAUAUUUUGAGAAUAUGGCAUGUAUAGGGACUUGCUCAUUUUGUUAUAUGUGUCAUUAUGCAUGCAUGUGCAACUAUCUCUUGUGUGAUGUAGUUUAUAAAUGCUUGAUAAAUGGUUGAAUGUGGCUUAAUAGGUUUGUUGUUGAAUGGUUAAAGAUUGGCUCGUUGGUAUGCUAGG